UUGAUGUUUAUAGGCGUGAAGUAUUAAUUAAUAAGUACCAAUUUACUGCGUACAUCGAUACCGGAAGCAAGCUUAAUGUACUCUCGCUUCCGGCUGCAGAGAAAUUACAACUUGAAAUACAGCCAUCUGUAGUUGUUAUGAAGGGAUUUGGGGGAGGUCGAACGCAGUCAGUUGGUACAGGCAAAGUUACAGUAUUGAUCGAUGAUAUAGAAUUAGUAGGCUGUGUGGAAAUAACUUCAUGUGAAUUGCCAAACAUAGACCUUAUAAUUGGACAAACAAUGAUAAACCAGAACAAUGUUAGUUUGGUUACCACGUCAACGUCGGUAAAAUUUAUACCUACUCACAUUUUAACUAAUGCGUUAAAAGAUAUACAACUGAGUGAAUUCGAUUGUUUAAAUAAGUUUGCAGUUUAUUUGACUAGUGACGUUGUGUUGCCUAAGAAAUGUAGAACAUUUGUACAAGUUUAUUUAAAAUGUAAUGAUGAACAGGAACACGUGUUUUUGACAAAACCAGUCUAUUUUGAAUUAGGUAGUUUGUGCUACUUUAUUGCGGAGACGGUAAUAAAUUCCCAUAAUUCGUACUUAGAGGUCAUUAAUCUAGGUAGUGAGGAUAUAACGUGGACCGCUCACAAUUUAAUAGCUAGGGCUGAGCUAAUGACACAGCAAACCAGUGAAUGCGGUAUGGAAGUGUUUACCAUUAAUGAAACUUCAACGAGUGAUUCACGUGUAUAUAAUGAUAAUAUAUUAACUGAAUCGGAUAUAAAUAUGGGUUCACUUAAUGACUCGGAUAAGGAAAAAUUAUUGCGGUUACUAAACAACUAUAGUCAUUCGUUUGCGAGGGAUACCAAAGAUUUAGGCUGCACAAAUUUAAUUAAAAUGCACAUCCAUACAACAACAAAUCAACCUGUAUAUUGCAAGCCUUAUAGAUUAUCUCACAAAGAAAGUGAAAUAGUUAACGAAAAAGUGGAAGACCUUUUAGAAGCAGGUAUAAUUAGGGAAUCCAUGUCAGAAUAUUCUAGUCCUGUAGUGCUUGUAAAGAAAAAAGAUGAAGGCUAUAGGCUAUGCGUAGAUUAUAGAGCAUUGAAUGCACGCACCGUUAAGGAUCGGUAUCCCCUGCCUCAUAUAGAAGACCAAGUGACACGUUUAUCUGGGAAGUGUUUCUUCACAACCCUGGAUCUUGCUCAAGGCUAUUAUCAGGUUCCUAUCGAUGUAGAGUCAAUUAAUAAAACUGCAUUUGUUACACCAUCAGGCCAAUACGAAUUUUUAAAAAUGCCGUUCGGUUUAGCUAAUGCUCCAGCGGUAUUUUCAAGAUUAAUCCAGAUGACUCUAGGUAGAGUUAGUAGAGAUAUAGCUCUAUAUUUAGAUGACGUAAUGAUUCCAACCCAUUCGGUAGAGACAGGCCUAGAGCUCCUUGAACAGGUUUUACAGCUUUUAAAUGAGGCUAAUUUAAAACUCAAUCUAAAAAAAUGCUCGUUUCUUAAAGAUAGUGCCACAUACUUAGGACAUGAAAUAACUGCAGGAACUAUACAACCUGGUCAAGCAAAAGUUAAUUGUGUUGCUAAUUAUAAAAAACCUGGCAAUGUCCAUGAAAUUAGACAAUUCAUAGGUCUAACAUCAUAUUUUAGAAAAUUCAUUCAGGGAUUUGCUCAAAUCGCGCGACCUUUAACGGAGCUUACCAGAAAAAAUGUAGAGUUUACUUGGGGUGUAGAGCAGGAACAAGCUUUCCAAACUUUAAAGACACGGUUAAUGGAAAGACCUGUUUUAGGGAUUUAUGACAAGGAUGCAAAAACUGAGCUUCACACAGAUGCGAGCAAACUAGGACUUGGCGGGAUACUCAUGCAGUAUCAGACGGAUGGUAGUUUAAAACCUAUUGCCUAUUUUAGUAGAGUCACUACUAAAGAAGAGAGCUUGUAUCACAGUUAUGAGUUAGAGACACUUGCGGUUGUAGAGUCCUUGAAAAGAUUUCGCAUAUAUAUAACUGGAAUACAGGUUAAAGUAGUAACAGAUUGCGCAGCAUUACGUACGACGUUGACAAAGAAGGACCUUAUUCCGCGCAUAGCUCGAUGGUGGUUAACAAUCCAAGACUUCGAUCUUGAAAUAGAGUAUAGACCUGGGGAAAGGAUGAAGCAUGUUGAUGCUCUUAGUAGAAAUCCCGUGUCAAGUCACAUACUAAUGAUAGAUAAUUCUGACUGGUUGGUAACUUUACAAAUGCAGGACGAUAAUAUACAGCACAUUUUAACUCAAUUAAAAGAGCCAAACGUUAGUCCUAACAUUUCAAAUAAUUAUGUAGCUAAAGACGGCGUUCUUUAUCGAAAGACUUUGGCGGGCGAACGGUUCGUGGUCCCAAAGUUAGCCAAAUACGGUAUUUUACAAAAACUUCAUGACCAAAUAGGUCAUCCCGGCUUUGAUAGGUGUGAGCAAGCGAUUAAGGCUCAGUUCUGGUUUCCGAAAAUGACCAGAUUUAUCCGUAAAUAUUUAAACUCUUGCAUACAGUGUGCAUUCGGAAAAGGUAAUCAUGGUAGGCUAGAGGGAGAAUUAUAUCCUAUUGAGAAAGCAGCUGUGCCUAUGCAUACUCUACAUGCGGACCAUUUGGGUCCUUUUGUCAAGACGCGUAAAGGAAAUACCUACAUUUUAGUAGUUAUAGAUUCCUUUACAAAAUUUGUAUUUGCAAAGGUAGCUAAGAAUUGCAGUUCUAUUGAAACAAUAAGACUUCUUAAAGAGAUAUUCACUGAGUUCGGUAACGCUUCCAGAGUAAUAACGGAUAGGGGCAAAGCCUUUACUAGCCGAUACUUCAAACAGUUUGCCCAGGAAAUGCAAUUCAAACACGUGCUGAAUGCUAUAGCUAGCCCUCGUUCGAACGGACAAGUAGAACGGGUUAAUAGGACCAUUUUAAACGGAUUGAAUACAAUGUCAGAAUCUGACUGUACGUGGGACAAUAAAUUACCUGAUGUUGUCUGGGGUAUAAACAAUACCGUUCAUGCAACAACGGGAGUAUCACCAUUCAGUCUAAUGUUUGGUCACUCUAACAGCCGUUUCCCGGCUAUUCCAACUGGUGAGCCUCAAAACUCUGAGACCCAACAACAACAAUUACAAGUUAGACGAGAUAAUGCUAAAUUAAGGAUUGAUAGGAAUAUGACUGUCAUGAAAUCGCGUUUUGACAGUAAACGUAAGCGCGUUAAAAAAUAUAAUGUAGGGCAGCUUGUCUUAUGGAAAGGUGGAAUAGCUAGGGACGCGAAGGCAAAGAUUACUCGCAAACUCGAUGGUCUAUACACUGGUCCAUACAGAGUGUGUAAAGCUGAUCACUCGCUAGAUCGAUACACAAUAUGUAGCAUUAAAGGUCUGAAAGGUUACAAAAAGUUCAGCGCUGUAGUGCGAGGAGAAGUGCUACGACCAUACAAAACUGUUAUGUCUGAAGAAGAAUCUUCAGGCAGUGAUCAAGAGGUCGACCGCGACGACCUGAUAGAUUUAUUAGAAAGCUAAAAACAUAAGAAGCUGGUGGAUGUAGCAAAUGCGUGUUCUAUUUAUCAAUGAAUAAGUAAUCGUAAUGUAUUUAGCAGGCAUUAGCAUUCCAUUUAAUCAAUAAGUAACAAUGAAUAAUAUGUUGUAUAUAUUUUUGUAUGGUACAAUAAAAUUUUAGGAUAUGUAAAUUAACUUAAGAUGUGAUAUUUGUAUAUUAUUGUAUAUACCUAUACCAACUACUAACAAUCUUGCGUAGGUUUCAGUAGUUACACCAGUAUAAUACUAAUUUUAUGUAAGAUAAAUAAAAUUAAUGAGUAACCGUGUGUGUGCGUGUGUAUGAGAUAGAAAGAAUAAACAUAAUUAUUGUACUUAGUGAUUAAAUAAAUAAUCAUGAUAAUAUACAAUAUAUGUUUUUGGCUACUUUUAACAGCUACACUAAAAGUUCUAAGGUCCUUACCUAUUUUUACAACACAAUAAUGUAUGAUUGGACGGCUGUGUGAUCAAGUCCUUAUUACAUUUAUCAAACAGAUAUAUUUGAUGAAGAUCUUUUAAAUUACAUUAUCAAAGAACUGUGUGGUUGGAUGGCUGUGUGAUCAAGUCCAUAUUAUAUUAUCAAACAGAUACCUACUUAUUUAUUUACUGUGUGAUUCGACGGAUAUUUUAUAUUUUAUCAGAGAUACUUACUUACUGUGUGAUUAAACCGCUGUGUGAUGAAACCUUAUUACAUUAUCAAACAGAUACUUACAUCCAAUUUACUGUGUGAUUCGACCGCUAUGAAUCUGGACUCUUUGGGCGAGCCAAGCCUACAACGGAUGGGGGCCGUGGGACACGGCCCGUGCAGGAUGGCCGAGUGUUAGCGGCUUCCGCAACCACUAGCGCCACCAACCUCCGGACAUGAGCAACAUGAUCGAGCAUCAGCAGAAGUUACAAGACUAAUUUACUUAAGCAGUGAUUAAAUAUAAAGCGAAGUGUCUUAUAUAUUAUUGUUAGCAUUUAUUAGGUAUUUUAGUGAAUGAUUUUCAAGUAGAUUCAUUAUAUUUCAACUCUGCAUCUUUCUUACUUAAAGUUACUUCCGUUACCACUGUUUCCUUAUUUUAUCAUUUAAUUUAUGUUUGUUUUUAGUUAAUACUUAAUUAAUACAUAGUCACUAUGGUGUGUAAUUGAUAUCAAUAAUUAAUAUUAAAUUAAAUUCAUAAUAGUUAAUGUAUUAGUAGCAGUUUAUACAAACUUAAUAAAUUAUAGAGGUAAGGUAGGGAGAGCUCCCCGCCGCCGCGCCAAGUAAGCGCCAUUUUUUUUGUAAUGAUAUAAAAGUAGUCGGGAGCUCAUUUCAGGGAUCAUUCUUUAUCGAGCAUUUGCUAAGGGGUCACUAUGCCCAAAUAUACGUCGACAAUUAUA